rnacentral:lncRNA from 1 species
AGGCACCUUUGUAAGAAAUCUGCGCAUCCCUUUUUCCCUGUGCCAGAGGCAGGCCAGGCUCCUUCCGAGCUCGGGCAGGGGGUCUCUUCCCGAGCACGGCCCUUCGGAGGCCGGCGGGCCCUGGCGCCCGGGGAGCGGCAGGCAGGGGCACGGGACACGCUCCGCUUCCCACGCUGCCGCCGCUCGCCCCCGCGGCGGACGGACUGGAUUUUGUUUGGUGUUGGUUUUUUUUUGUUUUGUUUUGUUUUUUUCUGGACCUCCACUCCGAUCUCCCCACACCGGCGAGCUGGCAGUAGGGCGAAAGCCCGCUGGAAACACCUAAAAGAACCCCAACCAAACAAAAAGAAACCCCAAACGCGAACAACAAACCCACAGCUUCCAGCUCGAGAUCGCGCCUCCGGGAGCCACCGGGAAGCCCCGGCCGCCCCGGCCCAGCCAGGAGGCGAGGGCUCAGCGGGGGCGCUGACGUCCGGCGCUGCCCAGCCCCGCCUCAUCCCGAGUGGUGCCGGAUGCAGCCGGAGAUUCCCGAGCUCCCCCCAUUCCCGGCUCCACCGCCCUUGUUCCUCGGGCGGGGACUCGCUUCCUUUCCCGACUCCCUCUUCCCACCCUCCUCCCCGUCAAGAUGGAGGACGGCAGUUGCUGCGGCCUCUGGCACCGCGGUGGUUAGGGCAGCUCUGCUGCUCCUCCCGAUCGCUCCUCGCUCCUUCCAAAAAAAAAAAAAAUUNUGGAAGCGUUUCUUUUUUCUCCGCCCACCGGCUGCUCGCUGCGCGGACCGCUGGCCCUUCCCAUGCCGUCGUCGUCGUCGUCGCCGUCGCCCUCCUCCUCCUCCUUCUCCUCCUCCUCCCGCGAUUGUCUGCGCUCCGGCUGCCGCCCGCCAGCCCGCCCGGACUCCCUGCAUGCACACGCCGCCUCCUAGGUGGCUGCGGGGGGUGGGCGCUCCCGGAGCUGCCAUUCCGCGCAUACCUUCAUGUCCCUGCGCUCGCUGCGGCCGCCCGCCGCCGCCCCGCAUCGCUCGCCCACUCCGGCUGCCGCCCUGACGGCCGCUCCCGCCCGGAGGUGAAGCCGGGAUCCGCGGAGGGGGCGGCGGGGUCGGCGGCGGGUCUCUCCCGGUGGAGCCACCGCCGCCGGCACACGCAGCAGCAGCAGCAGCAGCAGCAGCCAUGA